UAAUAUUACAUAUUACCAUAUUGUUGGUGUGUGCUUUAAAGUUGUUUUCAACCUGUGGCAACCCUAAAGCAAAGUGAUCACAGAAUUUUCUUAGCAAGAUUUUUUCAGAGAUUGUUUUCCCAUUGUCUUUCAGGGUGAGUGACUUUGAUUUUGACUUUCCCAAGGUUACCCAAGUGAGUUUCCUGGUCAAGACCUGGUCUCCGGAAUCACACCACUAUACCACACUCUCUCCGUACUUCCAACAUUUCACAGAUGAAAACUGGGAUAUGUGUGGCCAUUGGCCAAGCAACAUCAGAGUGUGGUGAAGAAGGAAGAGAAACCUGUCUUGCCUGAAACUGGUGAGCUUUAAGACCUCCGCCCGCCCUCGUGGUCCGCAGUCAGCGAAGCCGACAGGUUUCCUGGCGGAAUGCCCCCAAAGGGCUGUACCACUGAGGUCUGGAAAGGGGAGAACUUGGAAGAGGGAAACGUCGUGGCACUUGCUGGACACAAACGGUUGUGUGCAACUUCCACCGGCUUACAGUUGCCGUCCCGAAAACCGCUGAAAAAGGAUCACUUAGCUUUCAGCCCAUUUAUUCAGUGUGGCUUAACCGGGUGUGGAUCUCACCGUUCCUGUUGAACAAGUCUCAUGGAGAAGAGCAGACUUUUCAAGUUGUUGCUCUGUCAGUUUUACUACCUUGGAUACGCUAAUGACCAGGCAAGGGGGGAAAUGUGCACUGUAAAUGCCUGUUUCAACUAAAAUUCCAUAGGAUUUCCAGGAAGCAAACUUGCAAUAAACCACUUAGAAUGUGUUUUUUAAAAAAUU